rnacentral:rRNA from 1 species
AUUGAACGCUGGCGGCAGGCCUAACACAUGCAAGUCGAACGGUAACAGGAAGAAGCUUGCUUCUUUGCUGACGAGUGGCGGACGGGUGAGUAAUGUCUGGGAAACUGCCUGAUGGAGGGGGAUAACUACUGGAAACGGUAGCUAAUACCGCAUAACGUCGCAAGCCCAAAGAGGGGGACCUUCGGGCCUCUUGCCAUCGGAUGUGCGCAGAUGGGAUUAGCUAGUAGGUGGGGUAACGGCUCACCUAGGCGACGAUCCCUAGCUGGUCUGAGAGGAUGACCAGCCACACUGGAACUGAGACACGGUCCAGACUCCUACGGGAGGCAGCAGUGGGGAAUAUUGCACAAUGGGCGCAAGCCUGAUACAGCCAUGCCGCGUGUAUGAAGAAGGCCUUCGGGUUGUAAAGUACUUUCAGCGGGGAGGAAGGGAGUAAAGUUAAUACCAUUGCUCAUUGACGGUACCCGAAGAAGAAGCACCGGCUAACUCCGUG